rnacentral:rRNA from 1 species
UACGUAGGGAGCAAGCGUUGUCCGGGAAUCAUUGGGCGUAAAGCGCGCGUAGGUGGCCCCAUAAGUCCGCUGUGAAAGUCAAAGGCUCAACCUUUGAAAGCCGGUGGAUACUGUGGGACUAGAGUACGGAAGAGGCGAGUGGAAUUCCUGGUGUAGCGGUGGAAUGCGCAGAUAUCAGGAGGAACACCAAUAGCGAAGGCAGCUCGCUGGGACGUUACUGACACUGAGGCGCGAAAGCGUGGGGAGCGAACAGG